CCACAAUGAACUCCUUAACUUUUGCAUAAUCGUGGGUGUUGACGCUGCGGGAGCUGUCGAUGAUGAAGACCAGGUCUGCUCGCUUAUUCCCACAGGAGCCCUCUGGGGACACAGGAGAGGUCAAACAUAUUAGAACCUGGACUCAGCCCCCGGAUCUUUCAACACCACAUUCCAGGUACUACAGACGAUCUACAGAGCUGGCACAUGAAAUGGAAUUACUUUGCCAACCUGGUUUCAGAGUCUGGUGCUCUGCAACAAAGGCUGAAGCACUCAGUUGGAUCUGCUUCUUCGAGACCAAAUACAGGUGGGCUUGUCAAGGAAAGACAAAGACACAGACUGUGAGCAAGACCACCAUGUAACACAGCACCACGGUGCUGCCCACCACCAUGCCCUAUGGACACAGAUGCCUGUGAUGUGGCCCUGCUGCCCCUCUUGUGGCCUGUCCCCAGGAGCCUCCAGGCCGUCACCAGCACUGGGAGAAUACAGGCGAUUCAGUGAGACUUCAGAGGUAAUUUGGGUCAUUUUUGAUGUUUGUCCUACUGCAACUUGACUUGUAAUUUCCCUGUAGGUGGGGCACUUGAUUGGUGUGCCAUGGACGUUGGCUGGGGAUGGAAACCCCAUAAUCAAUUUUUGCCUCUCCAAUUC